rnacentral:misc_RNA from 1 species
AUUGGAUGUGUGGGUGCGUGUGUGUGCAAGAAAAGGUGCCAUCAUCAUUGCACAAUAAUGCAACGUGUGUCUGGUCCUGCAAGCCGCGCCCAACCUCCAAAGCUAGCUAGCAGUGAAGUGAGCGCAACAUGGGCACGCACGGACGACGAGAUCAUCAGAGUCAGAGAAGAGCCGGCCCACCCCAUUGCGAUUUCCUUUGGACAGUUCUGGCCGGCCGGGUGCUCCGUUUUGUGUGCGAUUUCCCUUUCUCCCCCCGCCCCACACGAUCUCCUCCCUCCCUCCCUCCCGAUGCGAGCAGAAACUGUGUCCGCAGC